GAGAGAUGGAGAAAGAGAGACAGUGGGAAAGAGAGAUCUCUCUUUCCCACUGUCUCUCUUUCUCCAUCUCUCUU
rnacentral:pre_miRNA from 1 species